rnacentral:rRNA from 1 species
GACGAACGCUGGCGGCGUGCUUAACACAUGCAAGUCGAACGGUGACGAGGAGCUUGCUCUCUGAUCAGUGGCGAACGGGUGAGUAACACGUGAGCAACCUGCCCCAGACUCUGGGAUAACAGUUGGAAACAGCUGCUAAUACCGGAUACGAGACGGAGAGGCAUCUCUACCGUCUGGAAAGUUUUCGGCUGGGAUGGACUCGCGGCCUAUCAGCUAGUUGGUGAGGUAAUGGCUCACCAAGGCGACGACGGGUAGCCGGCCUGAGAGGGCGACCGGCCACACUGGGACUGAGACACGGCCCAGACUCCUACGGGAGGCAGCAGUGGGGAAUAUUGCACAAUGGGCGAAAGCCUGAUGCAGCGACGCCGCGUGAGGGAUGACGGCCUUCGGGUUGUAAACCUCUUUCAGCAGGGAAGAAGCGAAAGUGACGGUACCUGCAGAAGAAGCACCGGCUAACUACGUG